rnacentral:rRNA from 1 species
ACGCUCGACACCUACGGGAGGCAGCAGUGGGGAAUAUUGCACAAUGGGGGAAACCCGUACGAUGCAGCGACGCCGCGUGGAGGAAGAAGGUCUUCGGAUUGUAAACUCCUGUUGUUGGGGAAAAAGAGGAUGGUACCCGAAACAAAGGAAGUGACGGCUAACUACGUGUCAGCAGCCGCGGUAAUCUGAGCGGGCGUGCAAGC